UCAUGUUGCUUUAAGAGCCUUCUUCUUUGGUUGCCUCUUCUUGGCUAGGGGACAUUCGCUCUUGUAAUGUCCCAGCUUCUUGCAUUCGUAGUAUAUUACUUGAUCUUUCUUAGGUUCAAAUUUAUUUUUAGUGUUAUUUUUAAAUUUAUUCUUUUUAUUCUUUUUUGAAUUUUCUUGUUUAGAGUUCUAAAUCUUCAUCAAGG
rnacentral:lncRNA from 1 species